AGCAGCGUGGCUCAGUGGAAAGAGCCUGGGCUUUGGAGUCAGAGGUCAUGGGUUUGAAUCCCAGUUCUGCCA
rnacentral:tRNA from 1 species